UACGUAGGGUGCGAGCGUUGUUCGGAAUUACUGGGCGUAAAGGGCUCGUAGGCGGCCAACUAAGUCAGACGUGAAAUCCCUCGGCUUAACCGGGGAACUGCAUCUGAUACUGGAUGACUUGAGAUUGGGAGAGGGAUGCGGAAUUCCAGGUGUAGCGGUGAAAUGCGUAGAUAUCUGGAGGAACACCGGUGGCGAAGGCGGCAUCCUGGACCAACACUGACGCUGAGGAGCGAAAGCCAGGGGAGCAAACGGG
rnacentral:rRNA from 1 species